UCAUAGACCACGUCAGAAUGGGUCAAUUGACCCGACAGGUCUCUCAGUUGGUUGGAGAGGAGCUGCGCAUGUGCUAGUUUGUUAGUACUAGCCGAGUCUCUGUGAUUUGGAGUGAUUCCAGGGAGUGCUAAACGUGGGCAAGUAGGUUGUUAGCUGCAUGCAUGUGAUCUGUUAGCUAGCUUCGUGGGAUAAUUCAAGUAGUUAGUGCAUGGAUGGAGUUGUUAGUGGAGUAAUGGGUCAAGUAGUGGCGUGAGUAUUGCAUGACAGCCGUGCCAGCCUCUGUUUAUAUAAGUGGCAUUGUGUAAUGGAAAAUCGAGGCCGUGAGGGCUGAGCAGACAAUGUAGUGCUUGUGUUUGCGAAGGAAGUGAGGCAAAGCUAGCUGGUUCUUUUUGGUGCGUGCGUGUGUGGUGUGUUCUUUGUAGAGGGAGAGAAGAGAGAGAGAGAGACAGAGAGCUGUGAGAGGAAGCAGCAAGGAAGAAGAAGCGGCGCCGCGACGAGGGCAGCGCCAACAAUAAUGUCGUCCAACUUCUCUUUUUCUUGUCUCCAGUGAGCUUUAGAGGACAUGGCCGUAAUGGCCAGAUUUGUAGCUCGCGACGAUCCUCAUGGCUUGUCCCAUCUCACGAGCCGAAUCAUGCAUGUGAGGCUAAGCUGCCGUAAAUGAUCCUUUUACCUCUGAUUGAAUCAACUAACAAUCUCACGAGCCGACCAUGUACGUUUACCGAUGAUCGAAUCGAUGGAUCCAACACAUACGGGCUUCACAUGGUUGGUUAGGUCGCACAUGAAUGCUGGAUAUAUAUGACGAUGCUGAUGCCGACGGACCGUAGUACUAGCUACUACGUGGUUCAUGUGAGUGAUGGACCGUCAUAGUAGGAGUAGCGAGAGUCUCUCUUUUCUUCUGCCUCUGGGCUCACUUAGAUUGGACACUUGCUAUCCGUUGGACCACCCUCACAAGAAAGAUGUGGUGUGAUAAUCCACAAGAAAGAUGCCAUCUCAACCGCAUGUGUCAGCAUAUAGUAUUGUACGUUUGUGCGUGGUCCUUCCUCUAGUAACGUUAUAUGUUCUUCCUUUUUUUCUACUAGACUAUUAUUACAUCUAACUGGUCGUUUAGCCGUCAGAUCAAAUCAACAUUGUAAGUUGGUAAAUUAUCUUAUCAGAUACAUACGGCACGAUAGGGAUGACGUGGAUGGGACGUGCCAUUGGAUGCCCCUUUGGAAGUAGCCACGUACGAGGAGGGAUAGCUUUGGAACAAGUUUUCAGGCACUUGUCAAUGAUAAUUGCUGGGGCUGAUUUUCCAGAGUCACUUGUUUAUUUGGUCAGAGUGAAAUAAUUGUUUGGUUUCUUGUGCAGGACAAUAAUGCGACUGGUGUACUAUGGAUGUGCACCAAUAAUGAAGUAUGGUGGAGCGACUGGUGUACUAUGGAUGUGCACCAAUAAUGAAGUAUGGUGGAGGGACGCUACCCGUUACAUCGCACAUGGAAUUGUACCUUUACCUUGUCCAGUCCGACCUAUCAUUCUAUGUAUAAUCGCCGUGGGAUAGAAAAUUAUCUUAUCAGAUGCGUAUGAUAUGACAAACGUGGGACGGUUGGGAGACAAUUCGAUGCUGCUUGGAUGCAUCGAGGGGUCGGUUAGAGCAUGGUUAAUAGUAUAGUAAACUGCUAGUUAUAAGUCAUUGUCAUGUCAUCUAUAACUCAUCUUUAAAUAAGGUGGCUGUAUGCAUCACUCGAUGCAGAGGCCGGGGCGAGGCCUCCUUUUCGAAAAAAAUCUAUAACUCAUCUUGUAGCCAACAUGUACGACAGUUGAUUAAAAAGGUGUACUAUAAUUUUAUUAUAUAGCCCACCUUUUACUCUCACAAAGUGCCUACGAGCACGUGCUAGAGCUGACUCUUAACUAAGAGGUCGCU
rnacentral:lncRNA from 1 species